rnacentral:rRNA from 1 species
CCUACGGGAGACAGCAGUAGGGAAUAUUGCACAAUGGGGGAAACCCUGAUGCAGCAACGCCGCGUGGAGGAUGAAGGUUUUCGGAUUGUAAACCCCUUUCGUCAGGGAAGAUAAUGACGGUAUCUAACGAAUAAGCCCCGGCUAACUCCGUGCCAGCAGCCGCGGUAAUACGGAGGGUGCAAGCGUUACCCGGAAUCACUGGGUGUAAAGAGCGCGUAGGCGGGAUAGCAAGUCGGAUGUGAAAUCCUAUGGCUUAACCAUAGAACUGCAUUUGAAACUGUUAAUCUGGAGUAUGGGAGAGGUAGGUGGAAUUCCUGGUGUAGGGGUGAAAUGCGUAGAGAUCAGGAGGAAUACUCGUGGCGAAGGCGACCUGCUGGAACGUAACUGACGCUGAUGCGCGAAAGCGUGGGGAGCAAACAGGAGUAGAUACCCGUGUAGUC